GACGAACGCUGGCGGCGUGCUUAACACAUGCAAGUCGAGCGAGGUCCAGCCUGUCGCAAGACAGAGGAAGACCUAGCGGCGAACGGGUGAGUAACACGUGAGGAACCUGCCCUGAAGACUGGGAUAACACCGGGAAACCGGUGCUAAUACCGGAUACCCACGAGAGACCGCAUGAUCUCUCGCGGAAAUGAAUUUCGCUUCGGGAGGGCCUCGCGGCCUAUCAGCUUGNGGCGGGGUAACGGCCCACCAAGGCUACGACGGGUAGCUGGUCUGAGAGGACGACCAGCCACACUGGGACUGAGACACGGCCCAGACUCCUACGGGAGGCAGCAGUGGGGAAUCUUGCUCAAUGGGCGAAAGCCUGACGCAGCGACGCCGCGUGAGGGAUGACGGCCUGGU
rnacentral:rRNA from 1 species